rnacentral:lncRNA from 1 species
CCAGCAUUAAAAAGGAAGACAAGCCUUCUGAGACAAAAUGAAGUGCAAAGGAAACCCGUUGCCGUUCUCAAGAGACCGAAUCAGUUAAACAGAAAAAAUAACAUUCCAGCUAAUUUUACCAGGAGUGGAAAUAAAUUAAGUCAUCAGAAAGACACUCGUCAGGCAACUUUUCUUUUCAGAAGAGGCCUGAAGGUAUUAGAAAGCCCUGCUUGUGCUGUUUCUACUCAUAGGGGUCCUUUAGGAAUUAGAGGCUUGGCCUGUUAAUGUGAAAAAUAAGACACUAGAUUAAUUCUUUCUGUUAAUACAUGCAUUUUUCUAUUUCUUGUCUGUUCUUGCUGAUAUAAUAAUUUACCUUGGUUCUUUACUAAUAAACUUGUGUCUGAACCUUUUCUAAUCCGGUGAACCCCAACAGAGGUGUUGCCAGCAUAUCACAGGCUUCCUGAGUUUAUGCUCAUGUUGACCCCGGGUUGUGUUUUCACAUGGUGGCCGAUUGGACUUAAAUACUCUGUUUUCUAUGAGAUCUGCCGGGGGGUUUUGCUGUCUUUAUUUUCCUUUUAGGUUCAGACCCAGUUGAACACAGAACAGCUGAUAGAUGAUGUGGUAGCAAAGAGAACACGUCAAUGGCGAACUUCCACCACAAAUGGAGGAAUUUUGACUGUAUCCAUUGACAAUCCUGGAGCUGUACAGUGUCCGGUAACUCAGAAACCACGAUUAACUCGUAC